GCGUUCGUAGCUCAGUUGGUUAGAGCACCACCUUGACAUGGUGGGGGUCGUUGGUUCGAGUCCAAUCG
rnacentral:tRNA from 1 species